rnacentral:rRNA from 1 species
UUUCCGGUUGAUUCUGCCGGAGGACAUUUGCUAUUGGGAUUCGAUUUAGCCAUGCUAGUCGAGCGAGUUCAGACUCGCGGCGCAUAGCUCAGUAACACGUGGCCAAGCUACCCUUCAGUCAGCGAUACCCUCGGGAAACUGAGGUUAACAGCUGAUACAAAACGCCAGCUGGAAUGCGGCGUUUCAGAAAGACACCGCUGAAGGAUGCGGCUGCGGCCGAUUAGGUAGACGGUGGGGUAACGGCCCACCGUGCCAGUAAUCGGUACGGGUGAUGAGAGUCAGAGCCCGGAGACGGAAUCUGAGACAAGAUUCCGGGCCCUACGGGGCGCAGCAGGCGCGAAACCUUUACACUGCACGGAAGUGCGAUAGGGGAAUCCCAAGUGCGAGGGCAUAUUAGCCCUCGCUUUUCUCGACUGUAAGGUGGUCGACGAAUAAGAGCUGGGCAAGACCGGUGCCAGCCGCCGCGGUAAUACCGGCAGCUCAAGUGAUGUCCCAUAUUAUUGGGCCUAAAGCGUCCGUAGCU